AAAAGUCCAUCAUACCAGCACAAAUGCUGAAGUCAGGUGUGAGAGAGGGACUGCAGAGGAAAGAUGGUUUCUAAGUUCUGAACAAGGACCUUGUAAAAAGGCUGAAUUGCUGUCAAGACAACCAGGAAGAAAUAUACAUAAGGGAAGAAUAGUGAAGAUUACAUUAUUGGUCAGCUCUGAGUCACAAGUUAAUAGUGCUGACUGCUUCCUGUCCCCCGCAGCAUAGGUAUACUCAGCUUAUUUGAUGAAUACAGUCCCAACAAUUUCUCCAGCUUCGGCUGCAACACAGCAGGGGAUUUACCGGAGGAGAAGGGAAGAUGCAAAAGCAGUAGGAUACCCAUCUGCUCAUCAGCACUGACCAGCACAGCAAGUUCCGUGCUAUAGAGGCCAAAACAACAUGGAGAUCUCUCUCAGAGCCAUCAUCAUUCAAAAUGCAACAUCAGCACAAAGCCUCAGCAAUCCCUUUGCACAAGCUGUCAUGGGAACCAGCACUAUGGAGGGAAGUUGCUACAACCACAAGGUCUUCAGCUGUGCAAGACCAGUCUGGCCUUCUGGCCUUGCUUUAGAGUGCAAGCAUGGUAGGUAUCGCUUGCAUCUCUCUUCAAG
rnacentral:lncRNA from 1 species